rnacentral:rRNA from 1 species
AGUGAACGCUGGCGGUAGGCCUAACACAUGCAAGUCGAACGGCCGCACAGUAAGAGCUUGCUCUUACGGGUGGCGAGUGGCGGACGGGUGAGGAAUACAUCGGAAUCUACUUUUUCGUGGGGGAUAACGUAGGGAAACUUACGCUAAUACCGCAUAAGACCUACGGGUGAAAGCAGGUGAUCUUCGGAACUUGCGCGAUUGAAUGAGCCGCUGUCGGAUUAGCUAGUUGGCGGGGUUAAGGCCCACCCAGGCGACGAUCCGUAGCUGGUCUGAGAGGAUGAGCAGCCACACUGGAACGGGGACACGGUCCAGACUCCUACGGGAGGCAGCAGUGGGGAAUAUUGGACAAUGGGCGCAAGCCUGAUCCAGCCAUACCGCGUGAGUGAAGAAGGCAUUCGGGUUGUAAAGCCCUUUUGUUGGGAAAGAAAAGCAGCAGGUUAAUACCCCGCUGUUCUGACGGUACCCAAAGAAUAAGCACCGGCUAACUUCGUG